AGUGAACGCUGGCGGUAGGCCUAACACAUGCAAGUCGAACGGCAGCACAGUAAGAGCUUGCUCUUACGGGUGGCGAGUGGCGGACGGGUGAGGAAUACAUCGGAAUCUACUUUUUCGUGGGGGAUAACGUAGGGAAACUUACGCUAAUACCGCAUACGACCUACGUGUGAAAGCAGGGGAUCUUCGGACCUUGCGCGAUUGAAUGAGCCGAUGUCGGAUUAGCUAGUUGGCGGGGUAAAGGCCCACCAAGGCGACGAUCCGUAGCUGGUCUGAGAGGAUGAUCAGCCACACUGGAACUGAGACACGGUCCAGACUCCUACGGGAGGCAGCAGUGGGGAAUAUUGGACAAUGGGCGCAAGCCUGAUCCAGCCAUACCGCGUGGGUGAAGAAGGCCUUCGGGUUGUAAAGCCCUUUUGUUGGGAAAGAAAAGCAGCAGGUUAAUAACCCGCUGUUCUGACGGUACCCAAAGAAUAAGCACCGGCUAACUUCGUG
rnacentral:rRNA from 1 species